CCAUCUCCCUCUCUUCCUCUCCAAGCCGCCGCCACCCCGUCUCCAUCUCCUCUCUGCGCCCGCAAAACCCUACCGAGCAACACCGGCGCCACCGUCUAGCCUGCGCCGCCGUCGCCAUGGGCCACCUCGAGCUCACCUGAGCGCGGGAAUGGGUUCCCCUCUGCGUUCUCUUCUUCCUGGACGUCGCCACGGAGCAGGACGCGCCAAGACCAGAGCAGCAUCGCCAAGUUCUGCUCACCUACGCCCCGGCUACCUCUCCUUUCUCGUCGCCAACGACCUCCUCCGCCCUCCUACCUCAUGGGCUACCACCAGGCAUUUGCUUCUUCCCGGAUAGGAUCACGAAGUGGUGUUGUGAGAUACGACAAGUUCUUCAACAACUUUUCACAGGCGAGCCCUCUCUCUUCACCUAUUAUACACUCUCCCUCGCAUUGCUAUCCUUAUGUUGCGCUUCUUUAUCGAGUCACGUGUCCUAUUCCACUUGUUUACCAUAAUAAUCAUAUAUGUAUCAUUCCUUACCCAUAGCCGUUGCUUGAUGUUUGAGCCUUGCGAGUCGUAGGCGUGUUUAGGCUCUGUUAUUUAUCUCGAUCUGUUAUCGGGAUAUGUUGGGUUGUUGGGAGGUUAUCACAUGCUAUAUCAGUUGUUGGAGAUACACAUGCUUUAUUUAUUGUUAACAACUAAAAUUGUAAGCAGAGGCAUCUGUGAGCCCCUUUGCGAAAGCAUCGGAACUUUGACUUGCUAAUGUCCCCUAGGACCCGAGUUCUUGUUAUCUGUUCCGAGAUUGAGCGCUCUACCCAUGCGUGGGGACGAUUAUUGGGACCCCCCCUCACCCAUUACCUUUUCUCAAGUCAGUUGAAAAGGGGGCCACAACCUUGGUUUUAUUUGCCUAUGCCAUGUAUGCCAUGCUUUACUUCCUGUUGCCUUCGGGUGUUUACUUCAUGUUGCCUUCGGGUGUUUAUAUUCUGUACUGUACCCCGCGGGACGUUUAGCGAAGCGUGUGGUUUGCACGCCUAGCCGCCGACGCAAACCCUGAGUCCGUCUCGGAGUACGGCCGGACUUCGUCACGGGUAGCUUAGUCGGGUGGCCCCCCUAGACUUUCUUGUUGAACUGGGAACGGUCUUGUUGUGAGACAUCCACCUGUCGUAAGUGGGUCGAGCAUGCGUAUGGUUACAUUUGGGCAACCCCUGCAGGGUGUACAUCUUAUCGAUAAGCCGUGUCCGCGGUUAUGGACGACUUGGAAUUGUAUAGCUUGAUCAUAGAACAACUUACACCUUAUACUUGUUGUUAACAAUCUAAUAAUAACUUGCGUAGUAAUAUAGCAUUACUACAACCGAUACCUAAUAAAACUUGUCCACCGUUGAGUGCCUUUUACAUUGCCUCUUCGCAAUUGUUGGAGGGGAUAUGUGUAAUCGGCUGGGUUAUGUUUGUGUAGUAUUUAUCUGUUACCUUGUGCGCUCUCUUAUCUUAUCUGAUUAGACGGAUGUUGUAGCGUGUCUCUAUUGGUUAUAGUUUUGCUGCCGCUAAACCUACCAUAUAGCCCCCGGCGAUAUAUAUAUUAUACUCGCCCGGCGAGCAUAGCCAUUUCUAGUCUUGCUAAGUACGUGCCGGAGUUCGUUCCUUGGUACUUACUCUCGCCUUUUCCCCUUUCUCUUUUGCUUCCUCCCUCUUGUCGGCAACCGAUGGCCCGACUUUGACAGGUACAAGAUGACGACGUUAGCAAGGUUACCCUUCCGGCUUGGCCUGGGCAGGGUUAUGGACGCCACUGGUUAUCUUCAGGACUCUUAGUCCAAUUUGUAUCUUGUCCGUACCCGGACGUAUUCAAUCUUCUGUAUGAGUUGGAUCUUUGUAUUGUAUAUUUGUAUCUUGACUCGUUGGAGUCGUUGUUAUAAUAUAUGUAUCUUGUGGGCUCUAUUGUAAUCCUGUUGUAAUGUUA